GAUGAACGCUGGCGGCGUGCCUAAUACAUGCAAGUCGAGCGAACAGACGAGGAGCUUGCUCCUUUGACGUUAGCGGCGGACGGGUGAGUAACACGUGGGUAACCUACCUAUAAGACUGGGAUAACUUCGGGAAACCGGAGCUAAUACCGGAUAAUAUUUCGAACAGCAUGGUUCGAUAGUGAAAGAUGGCUUUGCUAUCACUUAUAGAUGGACCUACGCCGUAUUAGCUAGUUGGUAAGGUAACGGCUUACCAAGGCAACGAUACGUAGCCGACCUGAGAGGGUGAUCGGCCACACUGGAACUGAGACACGGUCCAGACUCCUACGGGAGGCAGCAGUAGGGAAUCUUCCGCAAUGGGCGAAAGCCUGACGGAGCAACGCCGCGUGAGUGAUGAAGGUCUUCGGAUCGUAAAACUCUGUUAUUAGGGAAGAACAAACGUGUAAGUAACUGUGCACGUCUUGACGGUACCUAAUCAGAAAGCCACGGCUAACUACGUG
rnacentral:rRNA from 1 species